rnacentral:snRNA from 1 species
GGGCUUCGGCAGCACAUACACUAAAAUUGGAAUGAUACAGAGAAGAUUAACAUGGCCCCUGCGCAAGGAUGACACGCAAAUUGCUAAAAAAAAUAAAUAAAAUA